AUGGAGGUGCAGCUGGGGGUCGGCCGCGUCUACCCGCGGGCGGGCGGCAGGACCUUCCGUGGGGCUUUCCAGAGCUUCUUCCAGAGCGUCUGCGAGGCUUUCCAGGCGCCGCGGGAGGACCCGGGCACCAGCCAGCAGCCGCCCUGCCCGCCGAGCCCCCCCCCGCCGCCGGGUUCCCCCCCAUGCCUGCCGCCCCAGGAGCCCCGCGGCCCCGGUAAAACCCUCCCGACCGGCGGCCCCGCCAUGGGUUCCCCUUUUCCCUGCGCCGGGGAGCUGAGGGAGCUGCUGUGCGAAGCGGGAGCGUUGCCGUUGCUGCCGCCGCCCGAGGCCGAGCCGGCGGCCAAGGAGGACCCGUUGGGAGAUAGCGCCAAACAGCUCUGCAGGGCCGUGUCCGCCUCCAUGGGCCUGGCCCUGGAAGCUCUGGAAGCGCCGGGAGAACCGCUGCCCCGGGAGGACUGCAUGUUCGCCCUGCCCGCCGAGCCCCCCCGUGCCCCGCGCCCCCCCGGCGGGGACCCGCCGGAACCGCCGCCCGUCCCGGCCGCCUUCGCCGCCCCCGAGGCCGCCCUGACCGUCGAUCCGCCCGCCGCCGGACCGGGGCUCUACCGGGGUUCGCCGGGUCCCGCUUCUCGGCCGCCCCCCGCCUUCAGCCUGGCCCCGCCGCCCGCCCGCAUCAAGCUGGAGACCCCGCCGGGGCCGGUGGCGGGAGGCGGCUGGGGAGGACUGUGCCGCUACGGAACCGAGCUGGUCCCCCCGGGCUCCGCGCCCCCCUGGCCCACCUUUUUCGCCGAGGAAGGGCAGCUCUACGGGCCCUGCGCCGAGCCGCCCCCCGGGCCCUUCGGCUGCGGGCGCGGGGCGGCCGCCGAGACCGCCGACUUCCCCGCCGACGCCUGGUACCCGGCGGGGCGGGCUCCCUUCGCCGCCCCCGCCGCCUGCAUCAAGAGCGAGCUGGGACCCUGGGCCGAGGGCUACGCCGGCGCCUACAGCGAGGUCCGGUUGGAGACUGGCCAUGAACAUGUCUUGCCCAUUGACUAUUACUUUCCACCUCAGAAGACUUGCCUGAUCUGUGGAGAUGAAGCGUCUGGGUGCCACUACGGAGCCCUCACUUGUGGUAGCUGCAAAGUCUUCUUCAAACGAGCGGCUGAAGGUAAACAGAAAUACCUCUGUGCCAGCCGGAACGACUGCACCAUCGACAAGUUCAGAAGGAAAAACUGCCCGUCCUGCCGCCUGCGGAAGUGCUAUGAGGCUGGGAUGACUCUUGGAGCUCGCAAGCUGAAGAAGCUGGGUAACCUGAAGACACAAGACGACACUGAUGGAGCCAGCUUAUCCAGCCCCACAGAAGAGCAAGCUCCCAAGAUGGUGAUGACGCGCAUUGAUGGCUAUGAGUGCCAGCCCAUCUUCCUCAACGUCCUAGAGGCCAUCGAGCCUGGCGUGGUGUGUGCCGGCCAUGACAACAGCCAGCCGGACUCCUUCUCCAACCUGCUGACCAGCCUGAAUGAGCUCGGGGAGAGGCAGCUGGUCUACGUGGUCAAAUGGGCAAAGGCUUUGCCAGGAUUUCGCAACCUGCAUGUGGAUGACCAGAUGUCAAUAAUCCAAUACUCUUGGAUGGGCCUCAUGGUUUUUGCUAUGGGUUGGAGAUCUUUCACCAACGUCAAUUCCAGGAUGCUUUACUUCGCUCCAGAUCUGGUCUUCAAUGAGUACCGGAUGCACAAAUCCAGGAUGUACAGCCAAUGCGUCAGGAUGCGGCACCUCUCUCAGGAGUUCGGGUGGCUUCAGAUCACACCCCAGGAGUUUCUCUGUAUGAAGGCUCUACUCUUCUUCAGUAUUAUUCCAGUGGAUGGCCUGAAGAACCAGAAGCUCUUUGAUGAACUUCGAAUGAACUACAUUAAGGAACUUGACCGUAUCAUCGCUUGCAAGAGGAAGAACCCUACCUCCUGCUCUCGGCGAUUUUACCAGCUCACCAAGGUCCUGGACUCCGUGCAUCCUAUUGCCAAGGAUCUGCAUCAGUUUACAUUUGACCUUUUAAUAAAGGCGCAUAUGGUGAGCGUGGACUACCCUGAAAUGAUGGCCGAGAUCAUCUCUGUGCAGGUUCCCAAGAUCCUGUCUGGAAAAGUCAAGCCUAUCUACUUCCACGCGCAGUGAUCUUCUGGAAGGGACCUUCCCAGUUCUGCCACCCCCAUUUCAGCCAUCUCCUGCCUGUUAUUUCUGCACUACUGUACUGCAGUGCCUUGGGGAAUCCCCUCUACGGAGGCCGAGAAGACGGGACGGUAACGAGGGACUACCCGCUGGGAUUCCUGACGUUUCUAUUUUUCCUGAGAACAAGACGAGAAGCCGGUUGAGCCUAUAAGUUUGAGCGUGGGUAACUUUACUGGCCUCCUCCGGGACUUUUUAUUUGCAUUAUGGUGCUGGGAAGCAGAUGAGUUAAAAUAUGGCAGUAGAGAAGCCGCGAAGAGUUGGGGGAAGAGAUGAAUUUGCAGCUUGAUGGAUUGCUGGGACACAAAGGUGCUGUGGGGUCUGCCCGGACACCACCCUGCUGCCAUCCUGCCUGCCCAGCAGCGUGGAGGAGCGUCCAUAUGUGCUGGUGGACUCUUACAGGGUUGUCAGCAGAAGAGCUGGAGGGAUAGGUGACCUUUGGAAAUCUCCAGAGAUGGCGGAUGGCUGCUGUUUUUCCAUCUGGGAUGUUUUUCCUGCAGCCAGUCAAAGCUGGAUCUCGGUCUGCCCUGGGGCCACCCGGGCGCUCAGCAGUCACAUUCCCGUCCUCGGCAGCUGCUGCUCCUCCAACACGGCCGUACCCACCUCCGCAAGUGCCUGAUGUCCUCAGACCUCACACUCUCCCCUCCUCCCGUGGGCACCCCGAGGCCCCUGCCCAACCCUUCACCAGCUCUGCUCCCGUGAGGUGUCCCCGGACACCGGGUUUCCAGCUACACUACAUAUUGCCCGUUUGUCCCAACUAUUCUUUCCGAUGCCAGCAUCAAGUGUCCCAGGAGCAAAGCAGCGGGGCUGGGAUCUGCAGGACCUGUGAGGCCAUGGGACUGUUGUCCCAAAACGGGUUCGUUUACCCCAUGUGCAGGACGCCAGCAUAUCCAGGACUCUUGCUGCUACUCCUGUCCUUUGAGAGAUGGCUGUGGUGACUUGGCUGGUGCUGCCAUGAUGGUUCAGGGGGUUGGAAAGGAAACACUGAAGAGACCUUCUGCCUUUCUAAGCACUUCUUGCUAAUUGCAGUGCUUGAUUGCAGGCCAGGGGGACACGAUCCUACAUGCACCACCUGUCCCCAGCAGCUCCAGGUGGCAUGGUGGUGGCACUGGUGACAAGGUGGUGGUACAGCCUCGUGGCUGAUGCAGGACAGGCUGUAGCUCUGCCUGAGGAUGGAUAAACGUGCCCUGGCAAACAGGGGCACUCAGUCCACAGCCACCAAACAGCAGCGGUCAGUGGGUCCGCAGCUGCUGGUGGGUCCCAGCAGUCAGGAACAUCUGGGAAAAGCAGGUUGUUUUUUCAGGCAUAAGCAUUGGCUUGACUCUGUGUCAUACCUCAAGUUCAGAAGGAAACACAGGCCUACCCAACACCUGUAUUCAGAUCUGUUUAUUUGGUGGGCUCUGCUUCCCACAAAGUGGCCAAGCCUGCAUUCCCCAUGGUGUUUCGGUUCCCCCCUUCCCUCACAGUCGUGAGCCCACCAAAACCACCAAAAAGACCUGACCAGGGGUUGUUGGCAGGCAUGGCACUUACAGGCUUUUGCCAAGGUAAUCACAGAAUGACAUGGGGUUGGAAGGGGACCUCUGGAGAUCAUCCAGUCCAACCCCCUGCCAAAGCAGGUUGACCCAGAGCAGGUUGCACAGGAACGUGUCCA